ACCUGCGGAAGGAUCAUUAUUGAAUUAAUGUAGAGUUUGGUUGUAGCUGGCUCCUAAUUAAACUUGGGGGCAUGUGCACACCUUUCUCUUUCAUCCCAUACACACCUGUGCACCUGUGAGACAGAUGUUUUGUGGGGGGGAAGGAACUUUAUUGGACCUUCUACUCCCCCUUGACUUCUGUCUACUUAAUUCAUAUAAACUCAAUUUAUUUUAAAACGGAUGUAAUGGAUGUAACACAUCUAAUACUAAGUUUCAACAACGGAUCUCUUGGCUCUCGCAUCGAUGAAGAACGCAGCGAAAUGCGAUAAGUAAUGUGAAUUGCAGAAUUCAGUGAAUCAUCGAAUCUUUGAACGCACCUUGCGCUCCUUGGUAUUCCUUGGAGCAUGCCUGUUUGAGUAUCAUGAAAUCUUCAAAGUCAAACCUUUUGUUAAUUCAAUUGGUUCUGCUUUGGUAUUGGAGGAUUAUUGCAGCUUCACACCUGCUCCUCUUUGUGCAUUAGCUGGAUCUCAGUGUUAUGCUUGGUUCCACUCAGCGUGAUAAGUUAUCUAUCGCUGAGGACACCCUGUUAAAAAGGGGUGGCCAAGGUAAAUGCAGAUGAACCGCUUCUAAUAGUCCAUUGACUUGGACAAUAUCUAAUUUAUGAUCUGAUCUCAAAUCAGGUAGGACUACCCGCU
rnacentral:rRNA from 1 species